rnacentral:lncRNA from 1 species
UUUUUUUCAAUUUUUCAUCAUAUUUUUUCAUUUUUUUUUAAAUUAAAUUACAUGAGAUUAUAUAAAUAAUGGUAUGUAAAGAAAGCCCCUUUUGUCCUGAAAACAACAAUAUAUAAUUUGUAUGGGAACAGUAAAUGAGAGAGCGGAAAAUUACAGCUAAACACAAACACCAGAAAAGUGUAUAAAGAGGCCUGGUCGCAAAUGUACAACAUCGCAAAAACAGUCCAGUCCUUAAGGGGUUAUAGGAGGGGGACUCUGAGUUGGAAUUUGUGGCCUUUUCCUACAUUUUCCUGUAUCACAAUGUUAAAAAUGGUUGUCUGGUCAUGGUCUACAUAUAUUUAUUGUGGAUUUUCUUUUGUGUUGAGGACAUUCUCUGAUGAUCUCUAUACGUUUUUGCUUUUAGGAAUUGGUUUUCCAACCUCCUACCUAAUACUGUUAGCACACUAGACAGGAAUAAUUUUUCCUUAUUUGUUUUCUUUUUAAAUAUUUGUGUGCAAAAAAAACUUUCCUUGUUACAAAUUUUGCCUGGGGAGUCACACUUUUUUUAUGGGCACAUUAGACUUUUCCCAAUGGUCAUCAAGAAGUAUACUCCUUAGUGGAUGAACACCAUUUUUAUAAAGCCACUAGUGUUUCUUUGAGAUUGUAUUCUAAUUCCAGCCUCACACUGGGGCUUGUCCAAUUGGCCCCUCCCACUUUUUACUUGCUCCUUGCCUUCUGGUAGCUUGUUAUUAAACAGUUCUGUGGUGUAGGUGUAGACUAGGUCAGUCUGAGAUGCAGUGGCGGAUCCAGAGCCUGAUCUCGGGAGGGGCACUUGUAGAUUAUUUAAAGAAAUAAUCCAGACACAAUAACCACUACAGCUCAGUGUAGUGGUUAUGGUGUCAAUAGUGCCGGGACCCCCUCCCACAGUAAGUAGUCAAACCGUUUAAGAACAGUUUGACAACUUACCUGAGAUCUGCUGGGAAUGGGGCUGUAGUAGGGCAUAGGAGCAGUGGUGUGUGUGAGUGGUGCAAUGUGUAAGGGGUGCAGUGUGUGAGUGAGGGUGGCAGUGUAUGUCAGGGAUGCAGUGUAUGUGUGGGACAGUAUGUGUGUGUAACAGUUGCAGUGUGUGUGUAUGGGGGGCAGUAUGUGUGUAUGGGGGGCAGUAUGUGUGUAUGUGGGAGCAGUGUGUGUAUGUGGGAGCAGUGUGUGUAUGUGGGGGCAGUGCGUGUGUAUGAGGGGCAGCUUGUGUGUAUGAGGGGCAGCUUGUGUGUAUGGGGGCAGUUUGUGUGUGUAUGGGGGNNNNNNNNNNNNNNNNNNNNNNNNNNNNNNNNNNNNNNNNNNNNNNNNNNNNNNNNNNNNNNNNNNNNNNNNNNNNNNNNNNNNNNNNNNNNNNNNNNNNAAUGUGACCUUGUCGGUUUGUGUGGGAAACCUCGUGGUAACCAGUCCAGUUACUCGUGGUCCGCUACAGUGUAAAUUUGAUCAAUUAAGAUGUUAGAAAUAGGAAAAUACAGUGGAACGUAACCUUUAAUUUGCCACGCUUAAUUAACAAUAAUUACAGAUUGUUCUGGAAUGCAGUAAAUCUUGUUCUUAAUGAGCAUUUGUCAAACAACAUUUAAUUUCAUCUUGACUAAAUAGUUCAGCUAUUUUUGCGCAAACUAGUUCUGGAAGGUUGUUGAACCAGAAGGGAUCUUUUAUUUUUGCAAUAUUGACAGAUACAGGCAGGCCUGUUUACUAAACUGAGAAUCUUGGAGAAAUGACAAGUAAAGCAUACACCAGUUCAGCUUUCAUGUGAACUGAUUUAGCCUAGGAUUUGCAAUUCCAUCCACUAUUCUCCACAGUUCCAGGUUAGCGUACCGUAAAUGCACUGUGUAAUGCAAUGUGUAACUUUAUACCUGCACGUCUCAAUGGCAAAUGUUACUCAGGGCCCAUGUGUGAUGUAUAGACAUUUUUAAGCCCUUGCAUAGCUCAAUUCAUGGUCCACCCACUGUGCCCACCCACAUUCCACCACCAUCUUGAAGGCAUUUAGAGCUGUGAUAAGAGCAGGGCCUGACUUUAUGUUCAAGUUUGCCGCCCCUCUUUUAUUUCGAGUGUGCUGCUGGCCAUGUUACCGGGAGCUAGGGAGCAUUGCUGCUCACUAGUGCCUGGUAGAACACCGUUCCGGCGGAAUCCACGUCAGCCCUCCAAGCCAGGCUGUCCCCCCAGACAUGCACUGCUGAAGCAGCGUGAGGAUGCUUCAAUUGCUCGCUCCCGCCCCUUCCUCUGUACGUGGGGGCAAGUGGGCGUGAGGAUAGCAGAGGCAGGGCUGAGAAGUGAUGGGCCACCAGGACCAGGCAACAUAGGAACAGCAAUGGAGGUAAGAUGUGUGUCAGAGAAUAUGUGUUAGUCUGCUUAAGUCAGUAUGUUUGUGUAUGUCAGUCUAUAUGGGUCAGUGUGUGUCCUUAUAGGUCAGUGUGUGUCUGUAUGGGUCAUUAUGUAUCUUCAUGGGUUAGUGUNNNNNNNNNNNNNNNNNNNNNNNNNNNNNNNNNNNNNNNNNNNNNNNNNNNNNNNNNNNNNNNNNNNNNNNNNNNNNNNNNNNNNNNNNNNNNNNNNNNNCUGGAGCCUUGCAUUGCGUCGACCAUGAGCUCCUCCGUAUACCAAAGUAUUCUAGAGCCAAGUGUAAGGCCAUCUGUCCGACUGCUAAAGCUCUGCCGAAAUUGGCUCAUGCAACAGGACAAUGAUCCCAAGCACACCAGCAAAUCUACAACUCAAUUGAAUUGCUGUGGCAGGACCUUUUCAGUUUAUUUAUAUCGACAGACAUUUUGUGUUGGAUAGAAAUUAAAAGUGUACUGCCAAUCACUCUCAGAACAGAGAACUCCAUUUUGUCUAAGACAGACACAAGAUUUCUCUGUAACUCUGUUCAUGCAAGUCUGAGCUAAGGAAUGCAUUCUGUAAACAAGCCAAGUGAUAAGGCAUGAUAUCUCAGUGCAAAUACGGGGUGGAUGGAAUACUAACCCAGAGACAAAUGUAUACAUUAUUAUAUAUACAUAUACACACUAUCCACUUAACUUACUAUUUUAGAGUAAUCACAUAUUAUAAUAAAUUACUUAGUAUUACUUCGUAUUAGUAAAUUCAACCCUACUCGCUAUACCGCGAGUAGGGGCAUGUCUAGUAAACAGUGAGCUGCUCACUGAACAUUUUUUUUUUAAACCCAUUGCCCCCCCCCACCCUAAAGUAAAAUAAGGGGGGGGCACCUAUUGCCCUCCCCUCUGCCCCCACCCCUGAGCGGCGGGUGGGGGCCCUAAAUAACAAUGAGGAGGGACCUAUUGUCCUCCCCCAUGGCCCCCACCCCUGCGCGGCAGGUGGGGGCCCUAAACAAGAAUGAGGGGGGACCUACUGUCCUCCCCCCGGCCCCCACCCCUGAGCGGUGAGUGGGAGCCAUAAAGAUAAUGAGGGGGGGGACCUAUUGUCCUCCUCCCGGCCCCCACCCCUUAGCGGUGGGUGGGGCCAUAAAGAUAAUGAGGGGGGGGACCUACUGUCCUCCCCCGCAGCCCCCACCCCUGAGCGGUUGGUGGGGCUAUGAAGAUAAAGGGGGGGACCUACUGUCCUCCCCCCGGCCCCCACCCCUGAGUGGCGGGUGGGGGCCCUAAAUGAAAAUCACCCCCAUUCCAAGCCCCUAGUCACCCCCCCCACCCAAAUAAAAGACUAUCCCCUACCUACCCCCUUCACCCUAAAAAUAGUGAGUGGGGAAUAAAAUAACUAACCUGUAAAAAAAAAGAAAAUUUACCAUUUGAUGUCUUCUUUCUUCUAAAAUCUUCAUUUUAAGCCCCCCAAAAAGGCCUGUUGUAGGGGGACCCCAUUCCCAUUCUUGGGAGUUAUCUUGCUUGUAUUGGGAUAGUUUUAUGUAAGUUUUUUUUUUUUUGCUUCCAUUUACUAUUUGAGGCACAAGUUCUUUAAAUUAAUCUUUAUUUUCUGAUGCUUGUCAGAGUAUAAUGUUUUAUAUGUUGACUGUUUGGUCCCUUAUUGAUAUUAUGGGAUAUUGUGAUUUGCAUAUGUUUAUUAUUAUAUUUUGAUUAUCUUGUAAUAUACAAAUUACUCUUUUUAUUAUUAUUAUUCUAUUCUUUUAUAGGGAUUAUCCCUAUCCCUAUAGUGGUAGAUAUCAUGAGGCUUUUUCACUUAUUUUUAUGUUUCCUUUUUAAAAUCAUUCUACUUAUAGGUUUCUUUAAGUAUGACCCAGGACAUACUUGAAAACGAGAGACAUCUCAAUGUAUCUUUCCUGGUAAAAUAUUUUAUAAAUAAAUAAUAAAUAUGAACUAUGGGCUAUCUAAGUCCCACCACGAGCUUAUCAGACCUGCAUUCACUUCUGGACGAUCCCGGACUUCACUUUUCUGUGAGUUACACCAUGUGAUCAUAAGAGCCUGGUUUUAAAACUUUGGCAUCCCAACAGCAGGUGGGAGUUUAAUCUGAAUUUCACUCACCUAACUGUGCAAGGAAUGAACUGAAUUCUGCAAGUCUGACAGUAAGGAUUAAUAUGUGGUGAGUCUCACUCCCUUCCACAAGCUGGCACUUGGAAGGUUUAUAAGACAUCCAUGAACACUGGGUGAUUGUGGUUCCUGGUAUCGAUUUUUUCUGUAAGUAACAUAUAUUGUUUUUUUCUAUAUUUAUAGUAUUUGCUGUUUGCACAAGGAGUAUUCUUGUCCUUUGUUUUUGAAUUGUUUGGAUCUUUUUUUUUAUCUAGCACACUGCAACCUAGUUUAUGUGGUCCCUGAUUUUUGAGAUUAGGGUACUGUACACUAAACAGUGCAUUUGAAGUGUACUAGAUUACCUAGUAGUAGCAGGUUGUAUUGACUCAAUAAAGGGGUUUGUGUUAUAGUAGACUAUUUAUUGAGGCUUUUGCUACAAUGUGUUUUACUAUUAUAUACAGACUACAUUCCAUUUAUGCUAAUUGUAUACCCUAUUACACUAUUGUAUCCUUUUGUGAUUUUAUGCUAUUACCCUUGUCAUUAGUGCUUUAUAAUUGAACAUCUUGUGUUUUUUUUUUUAUAGAUGCUAUAUUUGCUAAAUUGAAAAAAAAAAUAUGUAUCUAUUAUAAUUAAUAACUCAUUUGCUUCAUUUGGAUGUUUUAUCUUUAUUCUCUCUUUUUAUAAUUUUUUGCACUUUUGAAAUUUAGCAAUUUACCUGAUAUUUUACCAGGAUUUCUGUUCCUUGUUUUAUUACAUGCUUUUUUCCACUUUUUUUUUGUAUUUUUUAAUUCUUUUUAUUUUGCGUAAUUUUAGUUUUGUUAAUUUUGUACAUUGCCAAAUUUGGGACACUGCCUUUAGAUGUAUUCAGAAUACUUUUCCAGUGCACCAUUUAUAUUGCCUGUUUGAAAAUGUAGAUAGAUACCACACUUUUUGACUAAAUUGCAACAUGGCUAUUUUAUAAAAAAAAAAAUAUAUAUAUAUAUAUAUAUAUAUAUAUAUAUAUAUAUAUAUAUUUAAUUUGAAUACUUUACUUGUAUUUCAGAUCACACUGGUUCAGUGUGGUGCAUCAGUGCAAUAUUCCACAAAGAUGUUGUACAAUUGGUGGAUCUCUCCAAUUCCACAAAAUGAUAUUAUAUGCGACCCAUUAUUUACCCAUUUUCCCCUAAAUAAGGCCCCUGCAAUCUUUCUGCUCAACUGUCUACCAUGAGUUAGAUCACAUUUUUUAUGCAAUCCUAGCCACACUUUCACUGACUGUGACUUACAUAGCCUUCCUAUACACCUGGAAAAGAGUCUACAUGUUUUAGCUUCCCUUAUUGCACAGUGUGUUUGUUUAAUUUAGAAUUUCUUAUUGUGUGCUCUGUUAAUAUCUUGCUAGAACCUGUAACAGCUUUAACAGCUACAACAUUCAAUUACAAGAGCAGGAGAUAAUAACUUCUAAAUUAAACACACUGUUCUGCAAGCUCUGAUUGAAAUUCACUUUUUUUCUUAUAAUAGAGGCUGUUUGAGUCAAAGACAGGGGAACCAUCGAUAAGGCUGCAUAUUUUUUUUUCCAUGAAACUUGUUGUUUUGGUGCUGAAAGUAUACUAUACCUUGCAGAAAUGCUGAAGGCCGGAAGGGUAAAGUGGACGGGGUAGUGAUGCCAUCAUAUCACUGACCGUCCCCAAAUCGGGCUUAAUACAAUAUGGCAAUAUAAAAUAACUGAAACCUCAUAUUUGUUUGCUAAGAUUGGUAAUUUGAAAUAGCCUUGCAAAGUGUAAAGCAAUAUUUUUUGUGUGCACUGCUCCUUAAUCUUUAUUUUGUAUAUAUUUUGGUGUUUACGUCAUCACCACUACUGAAAAUGCAUGUUCUGGNNNNNNNNNNNNNNNNNNNNNNNNNNNNNNNNNNNNNNNNNNNNNNNNNNNNNNNNNNNNNNNNNNNNNNNNNNNNNNNNNNNNNNNNNNNNNNNNNNNNACUUCCCUGGGGACCAGUGGCUGUCUGAGGCUGUUGGGAGUUGGGCUAUCUCCCAGUCCGCGCUCCUCCUCUCUUCCUCCCUCCCUCUGUGUUAGCUAGGAAGACGCUGACCGGGCCCCUGCAGACUCAUUGCUAUCGUGCGGCCCGCAUGCACCAUGGCGGACGGAGGGCUCAAGGGACAGCUCAUUUGGACCCCAUGGGAAUGACUGGACCCGGGGCAGCUGCCCCUUUUGCCCGGCGUUAGAGACAGCCCUGCUCAGUACUGUGUGUUAUAUAAUCUCUGUAUUGUAGCUUACUAUGAUUAUUGUAUUAUACUUAGCUUUGAGUAUGGUAUGAGUUAUUCUGUACUUCAUCUCCCUGUAUUAUAUGGGAACAACCAUAAGAGGUACAUGAUAUUAAGAAGACAGAGACCACCAGAUCAGAAGAUGACUGUUACAGAGUCAAAUUCCAAAGGUUAUGUCUAGCUCCUAAUGAUCUAAAAACUUUACCAGCUGCCACUAUGUAUAUCCUUGAAGGGUAAAAAUAGCUAAAUAGUGCUAUGGUGAGACUGCAGAGAGGCAAGGCUGGGAAAACUUUUUUUUAAAUCCCUGUUUAAUGGAAAAUGGGGGGAAGGAGGGGGUGGGGGGAGGAUCUCAUUAUAUCAUAGCCUCUACCAUUGCCUCAACAUUGAACUGUACUGGUUAUGGGGCUUCAAGCGCCAAUUGGUUUAAUAUGCUAUGAUUUAGCCAAAAUUAAAUUUUGAAUGAAAGAACCAGUAAUACAUAUUAUAACAUUAUUUGAGUGGGAAACCUGGUAUGUUUAACCUGGAGGUCCCCUAUCUCCUGUGUCUCCCUUUGGGCCCGGUACUCCUGGAACACCAAUAGGUCCUGUAAGUCCAUCUCUUCCUUGGGGUCCCUGUUUUCCUGGUGGACCCUGUGGGCCUGAAAUUUGACAAAUGGAACAAAAAAACACUUGUUAGUAGUACAUAAUUAGGGGCUAUCCACAAAAGUUCAGAAUCUUUGCAUUUUUAACAACAUUUUUUGUUUUAUCAUGGUACACACAAUUUUGCAUAAACUGAAGGGCAGUAAAUCACAUCUCUGUGUCUCUUAACUAUUUUUUGAAUUUCAUACACAUUUUGUGUUUAUCACCUUUUUUGAAUGUCUUACCCCCUUUAGUGUAUCAUAUCACUCUUUUGUGUCUUACACCUAGUUUAGUAUAGCUUUUCCCCAUUUUUCCCUUUUGUAUGUCUUACACCACCCUUGUAUGUUGCUUACUACCUGCCCCUUGUGUUUCUCUUCCCUCCCCCUUUUCCCCUUUGUGUGUCUCUUACUUCCUUCCAACCCCUAUGUGUCUUUCCCCACCACCCAGCACUUUUGUGUCUUUCUCCGCCGCCCCCCACCCCAGCCACUUUGGGUGUCUUGUUUCCCCUUCUUCAGCCCCUAUGUGUGUCUCUUUUCCCCUGUUCCAAGCACUGGCAGAUCCAGAGGCUUAUCUCAGGAGGGGCACUUGUAGAUUAUUUAAUGAAACAAUCCAGGCACAAUAACCACUACAGCUCUCUGUAGUGGUUAUGGUAACAGGAGUGCCGUGGCGCCCUCCCAGAGUAAAUAGUCAAACUGUUUAAGAACAGUUUAGUAUUGUGUGUGUGUGUGUGUGUGUGUGUAUGGGGGUGAAAGGGAACACUGUGUGUAGGAGGGGCAGUGCGUGUUUGUGUGAGGGGUGGUGGGGUGCAGUGGGAGCACUGUGUGUAUGGGGCCAGUGUGUGUAUGUGAGUGCAGUUGGGAAGUGUUUGGGGGUGCUGUGUGGGGGAGCACUGUGUGUAUGGGGGUGCUGUGUGGGGAGCACUGUGUGUAUGGGGAGAAGUGUGUGGGGGGAGAAGUGUGGGGUGCAGUGGGAGAAGUGUGGGGUACAGUGUGUAUGGGGAGAAGUGUGUAUGUGUGUGUGUGUGGGGGGAGAAGUGUGUGUGUAUAUGGGGGAGGUGUGUGUGUGGGGGCAGUAUGUGUGUGGGGAGGGUGUGUGUGGGGGGUACAGUGGGGGCAGUGUGUGUAUAUGGGGGGGUACAGUGGGGGCAGUGUGUAUAUAGGGUCUGUGGGGGCAGUUAAAGGAGGGAGCAGAUUAAAACAAAUGAGUGUUUUUGUUGUUUUUUGGUUUUUUUUUUAUUAAAAAAUUUCUUUAUAUCCCCCCUCCCUUCUUACCUUUGCCUGGGAUAUUAUUUCCUAUCCCUGGUGGUCUGGUGGAAUCCCUGCUGGUUCUAAUGGGGAGUGAACUCUAGCCUGCAGCUCCUGAGGCUAGAGUUCACUCUCGCGAGAACGGAGCGUUGCCAUAGUAACCGCAAUUGCACCAUUGCUCCCCCCUGGAUCCGCCACUGGUUCCAAGCCCCUUUGUAUGUCUCUUUACCUCCAGCUCCUUUUGUGUGUUUCUUUCUCCACAAAUCCUCUUUUGUGUGUUUAUUUCCCAUUCCCUUUAUGUAUCUCUUUAUUUCUUUCCCAGCCCUCCUAUGUGUCUUUUCCNNNNNNNNNNNNNNNNNNNNNNNNNNNNNNNNNNNNNNNNNNNNNNNNNNNNNNNNNNNNNNNNNNNNNNNNNNNNNNNNNNNNNNNNNNNNNNNNNNNNGUGUGCCCCCCAAUUCCAUUUUCUUAAAUAAAAAAAAACCCUGGACCAUCAUUGUUCUAAAUACCGUUUUGUUGGCAGAAAGCAAUGAUGUUUUACUCUUCCCUGGGAACUAAUACAUACCAGCAUGGAAUUAACCUUAACAUGACAUUUCUUAAAUGAAAAAUAUAUCUAAAAGCGACACUCUCAUGCCGAACUUACCUUUCUUUAAUCAAUUCCUGUUCUCUCCUUCUCUCAGGAUCUGUUCUUCUUUUCUUCUUGUCUGCUCUAGUUUUCUUUAAAACAUAAGAUAAAGUAGUGACUAUUUGUCUUAUUGAGGUUUCCUCCGCUGGUCAGAGCAAUUUUCCCACAAUUCUCACAUUUCCUCCAUGUUCUUGCCAUGCCUCCUUUCACUUUUCCUGAACAUCUUGUCAUUUAGACAGAACGCCAGCAAAACUACCAAAUUGCUCCCUAACAGAAUAAGAACAGUUUUACCAUUUAUGUUAGGACGCAAUUCGGGACUUUGUUCAGAUUGGAAUUUCAUUCAAGUUAAUGAAACUCCGAUCCUAUUCGUGCCGAGGCUGCAUCUUGCAGCUGCUUAGUAGAUAACUCCCUAAUUCACACGGUAUUAGAGAGCUAUCUACCAAAAGGCUGAAAGACCUAAAUUGGUCUUUCAGACAAAUUUACUAAUACAAAGUAAAGAUUAGUUAGUAUUAGUAAAUUCUGCCCCUAUUUGCUAUACCGCAAGUAGAGGCAUGUCUACUAAACAGUGACCAGCCAGUGGUGGGUGGGGGCCCUACAUAAUAAUGAGGGGGGGGACCUAAAUAACAAUGAGGGGGAACCUACUGUCCUCCCCCCCAGCCCCUACCCCUGAGUGGCAGGUGGGGAUUCUAAAUAACAAUAGGGGAGGGGGGGACCUAUUGUCCUUCUCCUCCCACCCCCACCCCUGAGCGGCGGGUGGGGGCCCUAAAUAAUAAUAAUAGGGGGACCUAUUGUCCUCCCCCCGGCACCCACCUCUGAGCGGUAGGUGAGAUUUUUGUGUAAAAUGACACACUCAAAGAACUUGAAUGCCUUGGACAUAUGAGAGAGAGAGAGAGUUAUUUAUCAUUUAUGGAUUUACUGUAAAUCUUUAAUAUUUUUUUAAUAAAACAGGUUUAGUGAAUUGCAGCGCAAAUAGUUCUUCCCUGCAGUGAAAGGUUAAUCAUUAAUAAUUGCUCUAUGAUCCCUUGAAAGUUUGUGAGCCAUAACCAAAGCUGGUUGAGAAACAUAAGAACUAUUUGUCAAUACCUAAAUACCUAUUUGUAAGAUUUAUAUAAAACAAUUGUGUGCCAUUGGGGUAGUCAUAUCCUAUUUGGAUGUUCUCAAUUCUGCUACGUUUCUGGAAUCAUUGAAACAAAUUUUAGCUCAUGAUGAUAACAUAAACCUCACUAACUUAAAGUUACCGUAUUUCCUUUAUUUUAAAGCCUGAGCAACAUCAUGUUUGAAAUGUCUCUCCUCCUGCUGAUAGCCAUUUCCCUGGCUUGUAAAGCUCAGCAAACUGAUAAGUGUUUGGGGAUUCAAGUUCUUCCAGUCACUUCAUGUUUGAAUUUGGUUCCAUGCAGAGAUGGAAUAAAUAGUAUGAAAGGAGAUACUGGACUACCAGGUAUAUUUGCACAUGUUUUGUCAAAACACUGACUACACCUGUAAAGAAGAGUAAUUGUGGGUGAUUUCACUGAAGUAGUGAGGGGGGAGGAAGCCUUCCAUGGGAUUGGAGAGAUUCAGUAAUACAGGGAGGUGAAUGGAGAGAUUCAGUAUUGGUUCUUGGUGUGUGAUGUGAGGCCUAAGGAACAGAGACGGAGAUGAGCCCGUUAUAUGAAGGUAUUUACAAUUAGGAGUGGCAAAGAAUGGAGAGGGGGAUAGAAGGGGGGGAGGGGGAGGGUGGCUGAACUAAUAUUUGUUGUAUACAAUUGAAAUGUUUUACCAACCCAAUUCUUUCACCCAAAAUAUUAACAACUGUGUACAUGAAAUGUGGUAGAAUACAUUCAAUGACAAUUAUAAAAAGACAAUGCAUGCACAGAAAAUUACAGGUAUAAAAAUGGUAAUGCUAUAGUAACACAUUUUAAUAUGGUAACAAUAUAAGAAGAAAUGAGGGGGGCAUCUUCCAAGCUUCAGUCACUACCUGAAUGUUGCAGGGAAAGGAACUGAUAGAUUAGCUAUUGCUUGGUUCUGGGUGUGUGAAGGGAUGGAACCUAAAAGAGAGUGUUUGGUUCCAGGGCGGUUGUUUUAUAAGUGUUGUGUUACAGUUCAGCAGGAAAAAGAUAAACGACAAGUAAGACAUACUGACUAAAUUACAGCUGAAUUUUAUGCAGUCUGAAGCCAGAGUCUCAGAGCCUGUAUGAGCAAUGCACACAAAAAAAAAAAAUGUAAAAAAAAAAAAUAAUGAAAUUUGGGAACCCACCAGCUCCGCUAGGUUUUCAGGCAAGGUAUAUGUCUUAGACACGGAAGAGAAAAGAAGAAAUUCUCCAAUACACAGAUCUAACCAUGACUGACAAAUUAGAGAAGAUGAAAGUAAAACUGUGUCUGUACUGGAGACAAAGGCAGGUAGAGUUUUGGGGACAAAGACAGAUAUUUUAAAAGGCACCCUUCUUCCAGGAGUGGCAGCUACCUUACUUACACUACUUAUGAAAGUAUUUUAUGAUUAUUGUGAAACAAAGCAAAAAUGAUUCAUGGAAGAAUAGAUGCAUAUGAAACACAGUUGUGUACACAGUCAGGUGCUUGCAUCUUUGGUAGUAUCAGAUUGUCAUUUAUAAGGGACAUGAUUGUGUGUGGUACAAGAGACCUCAGGGAAUGCCGAAUGAGUGAAGUGGAUUAAACACAGGAAUAUGUAUACAAACAGGUAGAUCUGAUAAGAUGUCUACAGCACUGAUGAAGCGCCAAUAAAUUUUCAGCACCAGUGCGGUGUCAGUCGUGAGAUGGAAACAAAUCCAGGAAAAAUGUACUGGAAAAGAUAUCAUAAAAAAGUUUACCAUGACCCUGAUCCUAAGGAAUUCCCUCUGCUAAUGUCAGUACUGAUAGAUGGAUUUUCUGGUUAUAAAACAGUAUACAGUGGUAUUUGGCAAUAUUAAAUCCACUUAAUAUACAUAUAAUGACCCAAUAUUAUGCAUUGUCUCUAAAUGACCAACUUAAGUGUUUUUGUUUCAUUACUAAGCUAAAUAAAAUGAAUAAAUCUCAUCCUUUUUACACAUUUGUGUAAUGCCCUCAGAUAUAAAGUCAUGCAUUAUCGGUUAAUAUAUUUAAAAAAAAAAAAAAUAGUUUAUGGUAUUUAGAUAAAAUGUGACUUUUUUUCCUGUGACAUUUUUCAUUCACCAUGGAAACAAGGUAAUCCCUUAGGAAGGGUCACAACAGAAUGCCAAUGCCUCUAGAAAAGACGAUGCAGUGCAUGCUUUGCAGGAAGCUCCGCGAAAAAAAAGAAAAAAAGAAAAAAAAGAAUUGCCCAUCAUUUAGAGAGCUAUGUAAAAUGUGCGGUAAGCAAAUCAUUUCUAUAAUCAGUGCGGUGCCAAACAAAGAAAGCAAGUAGUACAAGCUAGUAUAUGGAAUUAUACAUUCGGGGUCUGACUUUCAAAUUUCCAUCAGCCUUGUUUGCUACUAUGGCAAUCAAGCAGGAGGCAGCUGGAUUCAUACUGUAUUGUGGAGUACACUGUAAUGUCAUACCAGCAAGGUGGGUGAAAGACAUCAGAUAUACUACACUGUGAUGUACAUAUGAUGUUAAGGAUGUACAAUAGGAGUACAUGGAAACCAGUGGGGUAUAUAAACUCAAAAAUCCCACAUAAUCAGGACUUAAAUCAGUCUGUGUUUAUAUAGCUGAAUAAGCCAUGAAUCUGAUAUUGGUGCAGCGCCAGACUAUGCUAAAUAAGUAACAAGACAGCAACCACUCAGAUGCUACUGUAUGGUGUUGGCCAGCCAUCAAAAAAGAAUAUGCGGAUAUAUUUAAGGAAAUUUGCUGUCUAGAAGGAAAACUGAAAUUGGAAGUGGAUGCUCUUGAGCCUUAAAAAGGCAAUUACCGCUAAUAGCAUGCUCCAAACAUAACUACCCUCAUCUCAAAUAUAAAAUCCCCACUGUUACAACUGUUUUUAGAAUUAGCAAGUGGAAUGCUGUUGAGGUACCACAUGCAUGUUUGUUACAUCCAUAUGCACUGCAAAAAAAAAAAAAGGCACUUACCGGUAUAGAAAUACAGGAUAUUCCUACCCCCGUAGAGAGAAGUACAGUCUGAAUUAGCAGCAUGGUGGUAGUGAAUAAAAACCAUCAGGGCAAUUAAGAAUUUGUGUUAAUGCUAAGAAUCUUUCUGUUCAGGGUAGAAAUAGCCGAACCAGCUGAGCAUAGCCUCCUGUUCACAAAAAAAACAAACAAACAAAAAACACCCAUUAAACAUCAUAUUCACAACUUACCAGAAUACUUUACAGAGUUCCAUUGACAAUUCACAGACUGCGCACAUCAUUCAAAUGCAACACAUAACAUUGAUACACAGCCCACAAAAUCACACAUGAUUCGCAGCAUCAUAAGCUACAUAAAGUAUUUCCAAUAUAAAAAUUAUAUAUAAUCACUAAUAUGUGAGACAAGACAUAGUACAAAUAAGAUGUGAAAAUGUGAUAUCCUUCACAACGACACCUAAAAAAAUACAAACAUAAGAGUAUUUCCACUCACCAUUCCUAACAUGUGUUGUGCAUUCUACACAACACCACAUAAUUCUAACAUAGUGCUGCUCACAGUUAGAGAUUGAAUACAGCAUUCUAAUAAAGCAUAUGGCAUUCACACACACUACACAAAAGGGCUUAUUUACCAAGUAGAGAUUCCUAACCAAAAUGCAAACUUUAGACUGACUGUGACUGUGUCUGAGCUGGAGAACAUUAUCAAAUUAGUCAUUUUAGCAUGUAUUGAUAUAUUUGUUUAAACAAUAAACCUCAGCAUAUGAGAGCAUUUUGCAAACUACAUUAAGAUUAUUAUUUUAAUGCAUUGUUUACAUAUAUCAACUGUUGAGGACCAAACCAAGUGUUUGAUAAUAUUGUAUAUCUGCCCCUGUCCAAAUUAUAAGAUAAUUGCGUGUACGCUCCCAAAGUAAUUUCAUAUCAGACACAAGUUUUAGGUUGAUGAAAUGCUUCAGGAAUCUUUAAUCCAGGGGGCCUGUAUGCCCCUUAUAAAGCAGAAAUACAUCAUAUGCAUAAUUAUAGAUAACAGAGAAAACACAUCAACAGUUGGUUAGGUGUUAAGUGGUUCAUCUAAUGCACAGCCUAAAGGGUGCGAUGUCACUGUUAUCAUGCAGCUCUCCUCCACAUUUCAGCGCCAUCUUGUUAAAUGGGUGGUUAGUUGAUGGGAGGGGUAACUCCCUGCAUCCAGUUUGAGCAGUAAAUGAACACAGGAGGGGAGGGGUUAUUCUAGCAGCCGAGUUAACACAGUAAAUAAUGAAUGCAGAUGCACAGAGUAAAUAGGCAUUUUACUAAAGUUAAUAUUCUGUCCACAACAUCAACUCUGCAAUGAUUUUAUUGAUAUGUGACAUGUUCAUCAUUACACUGUUUGUAUACCUGUUUGCACUUUGUUAAUAAAAAUACCAUUAAGGAUAGAAAGUAUAUAACAGUAUUUAUGCACACAUGCUCUACUAUACAUGUGUGCAUGUUAUUUAUUCAUACACUUCAGGCACACUAUAGACAUGCAUUCACAGAAAAAAAAAAACAGUGUUGAGGUAGAACUGUUCUUGUUCUUUGUUUUAGUAUAGUGCUAUGAUAUAAGGUGAGCAUUUCUUUGUAAAUAUAGAUAUUAUAUAUUAUAUGUACUAUACAAUCUCUAUAUUUACUUGUAAUUCUGCUAGUACAAUACUUAGAUGUGUAAGUCCUCCAUAAGGUUGAUACACACGGCCACCUUAGGGAACACCAACCUGAUGGGCGCAGUCUCCAGGUGACGUACAGGAGGGGAAUGCACAUCACUCCCCAUCCUGCCAGUCUCUCCUUGUAGCUGGCUAUGCUGACCUCCUGUAUCAUUUACCCAGUCUGACAGAAAGUACCCCAUUGUACAGCUUUCUGCAAGACUGAGCAGAAAAAAAUAGAAGAUCCUCUACCACGAACCACCCGGCGACACUAAGAGGUAUGCAAGAAGCAAAGGAGAAGAGACCACAAGGAGGGGCUGGAGGAGACCACAGAGGGUGGGGCUGUGAAAGAAACACAAGAGGGGCUAGGAGGAAAGCGAUUCACAAAGGGGUUUGGGGAAAAAAGAGAAACACAGAGGGGUUGGUGGCAGAGACAAGCUGCUGGGNNNNNNNNNNNNNNNNNNNNNNNNNNNNNNNNNNNNNNNNNNNNNNNNNNNNNNNNNNNNNNNNNNNNNNNNNNNNNNNNNNNNNNNNNNNNNNNNNNNNAAUUAAAAAGUACUUCAACGUAAAAAGCGCACUCAUAGGCUUCAAAAUAAACAAAAGUGCAGAUUUAUUUUAAGCAGGCGUGCCUUUGCAUGUAAUCAAUGUUUCAGUCCAACUACCUUGACAUAUUAAGGAAAGCUUGUUAAUGGGACUGAAAUGGUGAAUGUAUGUAGGGCACAACUGAAAAUUUUUUUAUUUUGAAGUCCUGUGGGUGUGCUCUUCACUUUAAAUAUGUUAUUGUGCUGGAGUAUGCACCUAGCAACAAGACUAGGCCAAUAUCUGCUCAUUACAUAUGGUACAUAUUAAUGAAAUUUCUCUGUGUAUUAUGCAUUUAUAAAUGUACAUUAAUAUGUGUAAAUAUAAUAGAGAUAUAAAACUAAUACACACAUUAAUAUACAUGUCAUAUACUAAUGGCGGAUCCAGAGCCUGAGCCUGAGCCUGAGCCUGAGAGGGGCACUUGUAGAUUAUUUAAAGAAAUAUUCCAUGCACAAUAACCACUACUCCUCUGUGUAGUGGUUAUGGUGCCAGGAGCGUCGGCACCCCCUCCCAGAGUAAGUCGUCAAACCGUUUAAGAACAGUUUGACACCUUACCUGGAGUCUGCUCGGAUAUGGGGCUGUAGUAGGGUAUAGGAGCAGUGGUGCAAUGUGUGUGAAAGGUUCAGUGUGUGGGUGGGCAGUGUGUAAAUGUGUAUGGUGUGUGUGUGUGUGUGUGGGGGGGGGCAGUGUGUGAAUGUGUAUGGUAUGUGUGUGGGGCAGUGUGUGUAUGGGGCUAGAGUUCACUCCUACUACUGGGACCACCAGGAAGUGGUGAGAGUGAACUCUAACCCGUAGCUCCAGGGCUAGAGUUCACCCUCGUGAGAGCCGGAGCGUUGCCCCAGGUCCUCUCUUCCUCCCCUGCCGACUGGCUGCACGGUGCCUGUGGAACGGGGAGGGAGAUCGGCCGGCAGGGCAAGGCCUUGGGGGCUUUGUGAUAUAUACUGCCCCUAUGUGUGUCUCUUUAUCUCCAGCCCCUCUGUGUGCCUUUUUGUCUCCCCCAGUCACUUUGUAUGUUUCUUUCUCCACCUCACUGCUCCUCUGUGUCAAUGUCUCCCCUCCUCUUCCCAGUCUCUCUCUUCCCCCUCUGCCUCUUUCUUCCCCUCCCCUUGUGUGUCUCUCUCUCAUUUCUCCCUCUUUGUCUCUCUCUUCCCCCUCUGCCUCUUUCACCCCCUUUCCCUGUGUCUCUUCCUCCCCCCUUUCCCUGUGUCUCUCCCUCCUCCCCCUCUCUCUCCCUCCCCCCUUUCCCUGUGUCUCUUAGGCCUGGGGGGCAAAACCAGUCAAGUGGCCCAUUGCACCACCAAAUCAGUUCACCGUCCAUGCCCACCUUUUCCUGGUUUUAUAACGGAUAUUGAUGUUAUGCUAAUCAGUAGCUCUUUGCCAUACCCGCUCCUUCACGGCUCCAGGCACUGCUUGUUGUGAGUGUGAGCCACUGUAAAUUAAGGGCAGAGGGCACUUGCACUGCGGUAAAGAUGGGGCUGGGCAGGAGGAGAGUGCAGUGCAAUCAGUGCACUCCCCAACUGUGGGUCACCAGUAGACUGGUGCACCUGCCCAUGAUCAGAGCCGGUGCAAGGAUUUUUGCCGCCCUAGACAAAAUAAAAAUUUGCUGCCCCCCCAUGUGACAUCACAAUGCCCCACCCAUAUGAACUAACGCCAGUGCUGCGCACAGUGUGUGUUUACAUUAAAAAGCCUGCAGGGACCAGCUAUAGACACCAGAACCACUUCAUUAAGCUAUAGUGUCCCUUUAAUGUGAGGUACAUUAUAGAUUAGUAUCACUAAUAAUAUACUAGAUUGCCUACUUACAAGCAGAUGAGGAUGAUGAUGGGCUGCAGUUUGGCUCCACUGGUCUGGUGUAGAACAGGAUCUCUGGAGGCUGUUUGCAACUGUGGUCACAAAAUUCAAUGUUCUGGGAGAAUUGGAAGCAGCUCCAUUUUUGGGGGGCUCACACAGCUCAAGGUCUGGGCCCCAGGGCCUGACGGUGAGUAUGCCCAUAAGGCCCACUCAUACGUUCCACCCACCCAUGAGUUCGCUCACAGGGAGUGGAGUGUGUAGGGGAUGUGUUAUGUGUUAUUAUAGAGGAUCUAAUAUGUGUGCUUAUGGUAUGUAGUGUAUAGGGUUACCAGUUUGUGCAGAUGAUGUAGUGUGUUUGUGUGUAGUGGAAGCAGUGUGUAUUUGUGUAUAAGGGAUGUAUUAUGUGUUUCUGGUUGUGUGUAAGGGAUGCAUUGUGUGAGUCUGUGUUUGUAUGCAUAAGGGAUGCAAGGUGUGUGUCUGUAUGUGUGUGCAUUGAGUGUAAGAGAUACAUUGUGUUUCUGUGUGUAUGUAAGAAAAGAAGUGUGUGUGUUUGCAUGUGUGUGUACGGGUUUGCAUUGUCUGUUUCUGUGUAUGUGUGCAAAGGAUGCAUUUUCUCUGNNNNNNNNNNNNNNNNNNNNNNNNNNNNNNNNNNNNNNNNNNNNNNNNNNNNNNNNNNNNNNNNNNNNNNNNNNNNNNNNNNNNNNNNNNNNNNNNNNNNUGGCCUACUAAACUUUUAUUUUACUGGAAUUCCAUCACAUUAGUGCUCUCUGUCAGGGCUGUGGCCUGCACUCAUGGGGUAUUUAUAGUACACUGUGAUACUGUACGGAGACAUGCUGCUGCAGCCUCUGUUAACUGCUGGACAGGAUUUCCAGGCCAUACUGCUUAAAGGACAGAGUGUUACUCUUCUCCAUUCAUUUAUAUUUCUAUUGCCUUUUUUGGGAUUGUAUUUUAAUAGGUAUUGCUUUUUAUUUAGCUGUACUGCUAUGCUAUGGGAAUCUGGGAGGUCUUUCUUUGUUAUUAAUCUACUUUUGCCUAAUUCUGGAUGCUUGGCCCUCUCCCAUCCUUAUUUCUCUACUCCCAGGGUCUCAAUGAGCUUUUGGGCUAUGCUAGGGCUUUAUCCCUACCCUCCCACUGGUUCCACCGGCUCCCAGGCAUUUGUUCCCCUUGCCUCUGGUCCCCUUCCCCCAGUAUAUCCCGAUAUGACUGCAACCUUUUUUCCACAGCCACGCCACACUCUCCAGUUUGGCGCCGACCAGACUCACGGCCCCUCAGCCUUUAAUCUCGCGAGAUUUUAAACAGUCAUCUUUCUUCACCCGCGAACUGCAGCGGCCAUCUUUAAUCUCGCGAGAUUGAAGGUGGCCAUCUUGCCACACCCGUGCACCACGAUUUUGGCGCUCGGGAGUAGUUUACGCUUGUGCUGCCAGCUUAGCGUUAGCUACUCUCACAGCUCAGGUGACUCUGACACAGGGGUUGGAUCCCAAGUUCAAAUUCAGGUACAGGUGUAGUAUUCUAAUCUGUUCUAUUAUUACAUGUUAAUGUUGUAUUACUUCAGUUGUAUUUGAGGUUUAAAGGGAUCACCCUUAACCUCAGAUUAACUGUUAGAGCAUGGUUCUGUGCUCUAUAUCAGGAAGGUGCUACACCUUAUGUGGAAUUACUUCAUUACUGUUUAAGGGAUACCUCCCAUUAACCUCAGAUUACUGUUAGAACAGAAAUUAGUGCUCUCUAUGAGGACAGUGACAUGCACACUCUAAAGUUCAUAUGCUGUACACCUGGGGUUACCCUGGCUAGGUCGUUCUACUUAGUCCUACUGUAUGGAGUCAGGCUAUUGCAACAGGAUUCCCAGGUCAUACGGCUGUUUGCACACAGAUUGGUGCAUUCUAUAGGGUCGUACCCCACACUUGAAGGAUUCAUACUUCAUGCACCCCGUUAUGUAUACGCUACUCAAUACUGCUGAAUGGAGGAAGGCUAUGAUAACCUCUUUUAGCUACUGGACAGAAAUUUGAACACUUAUGGCUUAGCAGGAUAUUUCCCAUGACAGCGCAUUAAUUAUUGGAAGAGCUGAGGGAGGAUCUCUAUCAGGCUGAUGGCCAGCACUUAAGGGUUCAUAUCCUGUGCACCUAGGGUGAGGCCCCUAUUAGAUGUACACUGCACUGCUGCAGGGAGGCAUGCUGUUACAGACUCUUUCAGUGGCUGGGCAGGAUUUUCAGCACUCCCUGCUUACAGGAAUUUCUCCCUCGACAACAAAUUUAAUUGAUUGAUGCACUCUAUCAGGCCGGUGGCAAGCACUUAAGGCUUCGGACGCUGUGCACCCGGGGUGAGACCCCCACUAUAUGUACGCUGCACUAUACUGCUGAGGGAAGACAUAUUGGGACAGCCUAUGUUAACCGCUGGACAGAAUUUGAACACUUCCGUCUUAACAGGAUAUCUCCCACGACAGUGCAUUAAUUAUUGGAAGAGCUGAAGGAGACUCUCUAUCAGGCUGAUGGCCAGCACUUAAGGGUUCAUAACCUGUGCACCCAGGCUGAAGCCCCUACUAUACGUGCGCUGCACUGGAAUGCUGAAUGCGCUGCACUGGAAUGCUGUUGCAGCCUCGGCUAACUACUGGACAGAAUUCCAACACUGCCUGCCUCAAGGCAUAUCUCCCUUGCCAGUGACUCAAUUGUGGAAGAACUGAUGGACGCUCUGUAUCAGGGCUGUGGCCAGCACUUAAGGGUUCAUACCCUGUGCUCCUAGUGUACUGUGCUGCUGAGUGGAGGCAUGCUGUUGCAGCCUCUAUUUACUGGGUGAGCCCCAGUCUAUUUAUUUGGCCACUGUUCAUAGUACAACCCUGCAGGGGUUUCUGUGAACACUACCUACUACUACUAUGGUAGACUGAUCUGUUUGCCCUGCAUCCUGAGACUGCCUACUUGUUUGUGCCUUCUACAGGGGUAUCCCAUAUCACGAUAAAACUACUUGCCUAUUUCUCUCUGGGGGAUCCCCAGGUAACUAAGAUGACGCUGCCCCGCACGCUUACUGGUCAAUGACUGUGUAACCUACACAUCCUUCACCCACGUUCGAGAGUCUGGUCCCCUCCCGAUCGCCUGGCAACUUUAUGCACCUGUGGCUUUUUAGCCUCUAGAUCAGAUGUCUGUAAAUUCUUGGGGUCAGAUGACCCAUGCCCUCCCCUCCCAGACGGAGUGGCACAGACGGCUGCGUUUGACAAGCGGAUGAUGUCCUUCAUGGCUCUGGGCGAUCUCAACUCUGCAAGGGAGCCAGGAGAGGUAUCAGAGACACCCAAGACUAACUGCUGGACCCUAUCAUGGGUAAAAUACCAGAAAAUGCCAACAUAGUCCAGGAAUGGGCUCCCAAUGUUCGUGAAUGAACUCAGAUGUGUCCGUUCAUCAGAAACCCCAGUGUUCGCCUCUCCUAUGGAAAGCGCAUAGCAGCACUCCUCCGUAUUGAUGGAUGGUUGGCGGAUCUGGGCUCCAAAUCAUUGGGACCCCAGGCACAAGGCACACUUUUCCCGAGGGAACUUAUAGCACACGUUUAUGGUCCCGUGGCCCUCAUUAAGACCCACACCUCCUGGAGGAAGGUGUUAUGUGGUAAUCCCUACGGGGUGUUUUUUGGGACCGACUGACAGCGGGGCUUUGUCACCAACCUCUUUGUGACAUCUGACUACGCAACCCGCUAUCGCUAACUCUAUUUCCUGGUAGGAGCGAGAGUCAACCUCGGGUGCUCCGGACGAUUGGACAGAGAACACAGAACGCACAGACGCGCUAGAUACCAUUUUUCCUCAGGUUAACGACUCUGUACUUUCUUCUCCGCCUACAGGUGUUUCCAACGUAUCUAGGCGGAAGGCAUUCAAACUUAAUAAGGAACCUUUCGCAACGAUGACAUAGGUCGCAUAGGUCUCCACUAUCCUCGAGGAAUUUUCACAUGGUCCUUCAUUUCAACACUGUUACCCUACAUACACUCACCCGGAUCGUGCGAUACUGCCUUCCUCCAUCUACGCCAUAUUCCCAUAUUCACUACGUUACCAGGACAGGCAGCGAGGCCUGGUCAGGUUCACUCAGACAGACCCCUACGAUCAACCGGACUUCGCUCGGUAGUCGGAUGCUAGCUUGUAGGGCAAGGGGCUGCGAGGACAACCUGCGAGACCACACCCACAGAAACAGGUUCACAAUUCAGGAAUUCUCCCUUCACGUCUCCCUUCACGUUAGACCUAGCAUUCUUUGUGCAGCACUUCACUAUCCACUGCCUGGUAAAGGGGCAUUCUGCCGGUUGCAUCCUACUACGGCUGGACAGAGCAUCGACAGUCAGGUAUACCAAUCGCCUGGACGGAACUAACCCCCGUCUUCUAUCAGACAUCAUAAAAGUCAUCUUCGAUUCCUGCCUUCCUUGCAGAACCCUGAGGUCGGCCUAUCUCCCAGGGAAGACACAUAUCAGAGGGACCGCCAGAAUGCGGUGUUCUUCAAUUGGCACAUUGCACAAGGGUGCACAAUAGUGAUCGCACUACGGCCACUAGGCUUUUUCCUCCCUUGCGAUGAUUGCAAAACUUCUCCAUCAUCUCAUUGUUCAGCGAAUAACACUGCCUUGGCCAUCCCACUGUGACGGAGUCAACCUUGUUUCCUGGCCCUUACGGGACUGACUGAUGAGGAUCUCCUCCUCCUACAUUCUCACGGAUCCGAAGGAAACCUGCAUCUACUCUUCCUGGAGGGUCGGCAGACCCUGGUGGCCAGGAGUCUUGCUGGGGUUCUUGGCAGGUUGGUGAACUAUUGCAGGCUGCUAGGGACCUCUUAGGAUUCUCUUUGGACCCAGGGACGUAACCUCUGGGCAUUCCCAGUCAGAUUGAUGUUUGGAACUGUACCUUGAUCCAUUAUGGGGUGGUUUGGACAGCUCUAUGACCUGUGUCCCGGUCUGGGGACUUAAAAUGGACAAAGAUCCUAAAACGUAUGUACCAGUUACCCAGUGACAUCCACCUCCGGUUCAUGGGACGUGGAGGUUGUUCUCCGUCUUUUGUAUAGGACUGGGGCACCUACUGAUGGACUUUUAUGCUUGGACCGGUGGCUUUCAGUCAGGUACCGGAUGAUCCGGUGUUUGACGGGGAGGUUUCUCCCGUAGACCCGACGUGCUAGAUAUCCCGUCGUACUUUCGGCUUCUUCAUUAAUUUUCUAUUCCUUUCUCAGUGUUAAAAAUGCAAAAUAGGAAGCCUCCUGUCAUGUUGUAAAAUUGAAGAUUAUGCUAGCUUUAGUGUACUAAUAAUCUUAAUUUUAGUAAUGACAGGAGGCGAGUAUUUUCCCUCCCUGCUUCGCUACCCACCCUAUCUGUUUAUUUUCUUUGUAUGUAUCAUGGGUCUAAGGUAGGUUUGGCUUUCAAUGUUUUGUGCUUACAUUUAUGAUUGUGUUUCCAUUAAUCUGGAAUUCUCAUUGGAGUUUUACAUUAGUUAUUCAGUUAUCAGAUUGCAGUUUACAAUAUUUUUCUAUGGGAUAAUGUAUAUGGUACAUUACUUGGAUUUACAUGUUCAUGACUUUGUGUUUAAACCUGUCACACAUUCUCUUUUCAGUCUGAUUCAUCUCUGAAGACAUUUGGUUGUUCGUGUGAAACUCUCUGGAAUUUUGAUCCUUCGGAUUUGAUUUGUCCCUGAACACAUUUUCAUGGUUUGUAUAGAAUUCACGGGGAAGUUUGCUCCUUCGGAUGUUGGACCUAAGAGUUAUUAUUUUGCUCGUUAUAUGUUUACUUCUGUUUGAUCUCGUUUUCUGAAAGAGGAAGUGAUGAGGUCACUAUGCCUUAUGUACAUCCUACUCUCUUGUGAUUGGUUCUUUUUACUAUAUGUUUCUUUGCUGCUGUCUGGAGCUAGUAAAGAGAGAUUAUGCAAAAUACUCGCCUCCUGUCAUUACUAAAAUUAAGAUUAUUAGUACACUAAAGCUAGCAUAAUCUUCAAUUUUCUUCAGCACCAUUUAUUGCCUGUGGUGUCACUCUAAGUGUGCUAGAGAUGGGGGCCAUAGGCCCUCCCACCGGGGCUGACAGCCACAAGGCUGUGGGACCUGAUGGGAUUCUGUACUUCGUGCCUCCCUCCUUCCUAUCUGCAGCCCAAUCGCUUGAGUAAUUGGGUAACCAGGCCGCUCUAAUAUGUGGCCUCAUGCAUGCAGUGCAGCUCAUGGGUGAGCCUCCUGUCUUUCCAAGUGUCUCAGGCACUCUGAGUACAUAGUCCCACCCUCCGCUCUCAUGGCAGGCUGCAUAUGACCAGGGCUUGGUAGAAGGCAGGAAGGUGCUGGGUUUUCCAGAGACUCUGUGGGUAGACAAGGCAGCUAAAUAGGCUGUGGUGAUGGCGGGGAGGAGGGAGAGUGGGCCUGCAUGCUUUUACUAACUCCUGUAGAAAACUUCUCCAAUUUCAUCAUUAAAGGCACAGUUUUUUUGUUUUUUUCUUUGUCUCUGCAUAAUGAGCAGAGAUUCUUAAAGCUAUAUUAAAGUUCCAAAUUGUUCAAUUAAAGCCAUAAAUUGUAAUUCUGGGUCAUUUAAGUCUUAAUGUCCCCAGAGUCUCUUUAAAAGGUGGCCAUCUAAGAUAGUGGCCAAGACACGCCUCACCUUUUUGUCAUUGGCUGCAGUCUUAUAAACCUUAGACAUAGAGUAGGGUGGUUCCUCAAACUGUAUACCUGAGCUAGCCUCCAUAACACUCUGAAAGAACUGAAAAUUAAUUAUGUAGAUACACAGUAUGUGCAAUAUGCCUUUUAUCCACAACUCUAAGUCUAUCAGAUUCUACAGUUAUCCAUCUGCCAUUCUUAGCAAGCUGCAGUGGCUUUGCAACAGUCCCAGCCUGAGUUUGUUUAACAGAGAAUUUACAAAUCUCAGACUUCAAAAAUAUAAUCUCCUGCAGCAAUAUAGAGAACUGUCUAAAGAUUAGACAGCUUCCAAAACUCCAAAAUAGUGGAACAUAUGCAUAACCACUAUUACACUGACCUAAAUCUGCCAUUUUAAACAAAUCUUACUGUAUACCUCAGACUACCUCCAGAGUAUCUCCAGGUAUUGUCCAGAAUAGUCACACAGGAAAAACAGUAGAUAGCAGUAAGUAUUACCAGACCUUAGAGUGACUUGGCCUAACAUAUGAAGAACAAAAGAUAUAAAUGUUCAAUCAUGGGGCAAGGGCAAUUGUCCAAUCCAAUCGAAGAUCAGGGAUAGAGAAGAAAGUAGUCGAGAAAGGCCAAGAUCAACAACCAGGAAUCAGAGUAUAGAAAAAAUGUGCACUGAGAUAACCAUUCUGGAAACCACAACAGUGCACUGAGCAGAUGUAAAGCUCAAGUGUAGCUGGGAGACCUUUGUUGUUUUGUAUAUAUUUAAUCAAGAAUUUAUAAAUGUGAGUGGGCAUCGGCAAUGGAGAGAUGUGUCAUGACGUAGAUGCGACUUAAUGACCUCAUAAAAAGUGGAAGUGGCUUUUGAAUGGCUGGCAAAGGUGUCUGAGGGUGUGAAACUGAUGUGGUGCCUACUUGGGCAGGUAAGGGAACCAGGUGAGUGCCAUAGCGCAAGGGUAUGUAAUCAUUGCAUAAUUCCAUUGUUAUAAAAAUCGCACAGCCCAGACAAACACAGCUUUUAUAGAUGCUUAGGCCACUUGCAGCCAAAUGGACCCUUCUAAAACCUUCCAACAUCCCCAUAUUGGAAAAAAGGUUUUUAAAAAAACAUAUGAUUACAUGUACUAUGCAAUUUGUAGCUUACAAUUUAACUUGCCCAUGUGGCUUGGUCUACAUUGUCCAACAGAUUCUACUUUAAGAGAUCAGAUCAGAGGAUAUUGCUCUUUGACUAGAACAGCAUACUGUGAUGGCCAUUGCGAUAGACCAGCGGCCAAACACUUUUUGGAACAUAAUCACCAACUACCUAUGCUCAAAUUUGUGGCCAUUGACCACAUUUUCCCUUAAAAAGAGGAGGUAACCAUUUAAAUGUCCUAUUGCAAUGUAAAGCAUUCUAGUUAAGAAAAUUGGAAACUAUAGCCCCCAGUGGCUUGAAUGAUAAAAUGUUUUAUGUACUCUUUAUUUUAUAAAUAUCACCCUCAGGACGCAGGACGGUUCAGGACCAUCCUCAGCAUUUUUGCGUUGCCGACCGAGGACGAUCCUGAACCGUCCUAACGGAAAACGGGCGGCGGGAGUGAUCAGAGAUCACUUCUGCCGAAAUCCUGUUGUUACUAUCUGCCCGGCAUCCCAGGCAGAUAGUAACAGCCAAUUGCGGCAUGUGAGCGAUCCGCGAUCGCUCACAAUUGGCUGGUGUCAAAGUGGGUGUUACAAACACUCACUUUGACACUGAUCUCUGCCCCUCUCUCCUCUGUAGCGUUUUGUGAGGGGAGAGAGACAGAGAUCGUGAUAGUUUGUUGCAGCAGGUGCAGGUGUUUGUUGUACCAGAGAGUAUUAAAAAGUAUCAGCAGUUAAUAAAAAAUCCCCUUUAACCCCUUCCCUGCCAGAUCUGUUACAGACAGUGCAUUUGUACUGUGGCUAUUUUUUUUUUGCCCUUAAGGGUUAACUUUAUUUUAAAAAAUUUGUGUCUUAGACUGUCUUAGAUGGUCUUAGUCUGUCUUAGUCUGUCGUAGUCAGUCAGUUUCCUUCCCCCAAAUCUCCAUUAGAUUCUUCUAACAGGAGUUAGUUUAGGGAUUACUGUUUGUCAGUUUUAGUGUAAAAAAAAACCAAACACAUUUAUUGUGUUUAGUAUUUUGUUAGUUUAGUCUGUUAGUGUGAAACAUGCAGCGCAUGUACAGCUCGGAGGAGGCAUAUGCCUUCUUGGCGUCAGACUCUGACGCCACUGACACUGCGUCCGAUUUUGACACAGGUCAGUUUAGCGGCACGUCUAGUGACAUGUCAUCUGUGUGUGAGCCAGCUGCUAAAAGAAGCUGUGCUUCCCCUGCUACGCCAAAUGUGGAGAAGGACUGGGUACCUCCACAGUCAGCUGAGCCCAACAUCCCCCCUCUUAGUGCCAACGCAGGCAUUAAUGUGAAUGUGGUUGACUUCUCCCCUAUACAAUAUAUGGAGUUAUUUUUAGGGGAUACCAUCUGGGAGGAGAUUGUUUCCCAGACUAAUUUAUAAGCUAGCCAAUUUAUUGAGACCAAUCCAGGUAGCUAUACAGUCAGGGAGCAUGCUUGGCAUCGCACAGAUGUCCCUGAACGUAAAACAUUCUGGGCUCUUACCAUGCUCAUGGGGAUAAUAAAGAAGCCAUCAAUCCGCUCUUACUGGAGCACCAACCCAAUUUGUUCGACUCCUAUAUACUCCCAAACAAUGCCUAGACCAAGAUAUGAGCUGCUGCUGAGAUACUUACAUUUCAACGACAAUACGCUCUGUCACCCCAGAGAUCACCCCCAAUAUGAUAAGCUACAUAAAAUACGCCCACUGGUAGACCAUCUUCAGAACAGAUUUUCUGAAGUUUAUUCUCCCCAACAAAAUGUAUCUAUUGAUGAAUCCUUUAUGAAAUAUAAAGGGAGAUUAGGGUUCAAACAGUAUAUCCCCUCAAAGCGGUCUAGGUAUGGCAUUAAAGUGUUCAAACUGUGCGAGAGCGAAAGUGGCUACACAUUUGCCUUUCGUGUAUAUGAAGGGAAAGAUGCUCAACUGAACCCUCCUGGCUGUCCUGACUCUCUGGGGACAAGUGGGAAACUUGUUUGGGACCUACUGAUCCCCUUGUUCAGUAAGGGUUACCACCUUUAUGUGGACAAUUUUUACAGCAGUGUCCACUUGUUUAAAAUUCUUUAUAGUUUGCAGAAACUGGCCUGCGGCACUGUAAGAAGAAAUGCCAAGGAUUUCCCCAGACCUCUCAUAGAGGCCAAAUUAAAAAAAGGUGAAUGCAAAGCUCUGCGCAAAGCUGAACUGCUUGCGCUAAAAUUUAAGGACAGGAAGGAUGUUCACAUGCUAACAACCAUCCAUAACGAAGGCAUGUCAGACAUCACUGUCCGAGGCAGGGUACAGACUAAACCUGUUUGCAUCAGGGCUUAUAAAAUGCACAUGGGGGUGUUGAUUUGGCUGAUCAGCUGAUGCAGCCAUAUCUUAUCUUAAGAAAGACAAAAGCCUGGUAUAAAAAGGUGGCUAUCUACCUGUUGCAAGUAGCAACACAUAAUUCAUUUUUACUCUUUAAAAAAAUGAAUCCAGGAAGAACCACCUAUCUCCAAUUUCAGCUCAAGCUGAUUUCCACAAUAAUUUAUGGAGAUGGUCAAGUUCCAACAACGGUGCAAGAGGAGUCUAGACAUUUUAUUUUUAAGAUACCGCCAACACCAAAAAAAAGAAAUCCCCAGAAAGUUGCCGGGUCUGUUAUGAAAAAGGGAAAAGGACAGACACCCCUUUUCACUGUCCCGAUUGUCCUACAAAACCUGGACUGUGUAUUGGAGCAUGUUUUAAGGUCUACCACACAGAAAAUACAUUUUUAUAAUACUUGUUCCUGAUUUAUUUAUUUUGUUUAUUUUGAAAGCAGCAAAUUUCUGUUAGUCAGUAUCCUUCCCCCAAAUCUCCAGUUAGAUUCUUUUUGCAGGAGUUAGUUUACAAAUUGCUGCUAACUGAAGUUUUAGUCUGCUUCUAUCAGUUUUAGUCUGUUUUUAGUAUAAAAUAAAAAAAAAAUUGUGUGUUAGUAACUCUGUGUUAGUCAGACUCUGACGCCACUGACACUGCGUCCGAUUUUGACCCAGGUCAGUUUUCUGAUACAUCUAGUGACAUGUCAUCUGUGUGUGAGCCGGCUGCAAAAAUAAGCUGUGCUUUCUCUCCUACGCCGAAUGUGGAGGAGGAACGGGUUUCUCCACAGUUAGCUGAGCCCUAAAUCACCCCUUUUAGUGCCAAAACAGGCAUUAAUGUCAAUGUGGAUGACUUCUCCCCUAUGCAAUAUAUGGAGCUAUUUUUAGGGGAUACCAUCUGGGAGGAGAAUGCUCCCCAGACUAAUUUAUAUACUACCCAAUUUAUUGAUACCAAUCCAGAUAGCUAUGCAGUCAGGGAGGAGUGUGCUUGGCAUCCCACAGAUGUCGCUGAACUUAAAAAAUUCUGGGCUCUUAAAAUUCUCAUGGGGAUUAUAAAGAAGCCAUCAAUUCGCUCUUACUGGAGCACCAACCCAAUCUGUUCUAGUCCAGUGUACUCUCAAACCAUGUCUAGAACAAGAUUUGAGCUGCUGCUGAGAUACUUACAUUUCAAUGGCAAUACCCUCUGUCACCCCAAUAUGAUAGGCUUCAUAAAAUACACCCACUGGUAGACCAUCUUCAGCACAAAUUUACUGAAGUUUAUACUCCUCAAAAUUUUUUAUCUAUUGAUGAAUCGUUAAUGAAAUAUAAAGGGAGAUUAGGAUUCAAACAAUACAUCCUCUCAAAGCGCUUUAGGUAUGGUGUAAAAUUCUACAAACUGUGCGAGAGCGAAAGUGGCUAUACAUUUGCCUUUCGUAUAUAUGAGGGGAAAGAUGGUCAACUGGACCCUCCUGGCUGUACUGACUCUCUGGGGACAAGCAGGAAACUUGUUUUUGACUUACUGAUCCCCUUGUUCAAUAAGGGUUACCACCUUUAUGUGGACAAUUUUUAUAGCAUUGUCCGUUUGUUUCAAACUCUUUAGGGUUUCUAGAUACUGGCCUGUGGCAGUGUGAGAAGAUAUGCCAAGGAUUUCCCCAGACCUUUUAUAGAGGCCAAAUAAAAAAAAGUGAAUGUAAAGGUCUGCACAAAGCUAAAGUGCUUGCAAUAAAAUUUAAGGACAGGAAGGAUGUUAAUAUACUAACCACCAUCCAUGACGAAAGCAUGUCAGACGUCACUGUCCGAGGCAGAGUACAGACCAAACCUGUUUGCAUCAGGGCUUAUAAAAUGCACAUGGGGGUGUUGAUUUGGCUGAUCAGCUGAUGCAGCCAUAUCUUAUCUUAAGAAAGACAAAAGCCUGGUAUAAAAAGGUGGCUAUCUACCUGAUGCAAGUAGCAACACAUAAUUAAUUUUUACUCUUUAAAAAAAUGAAUCCAGAAAGAACCACCUUUCUCCAAUUUUAGUUCAAGCUGAUUUCCACAAUAAUUUAUGGAGAUGGUCAAGUUCCAACAACGGUGCCAGAGGAGUCCAGACAUUUUAUUUUUAAGAUACCGCCAACUGCAAAAAAAAACAAAUCCCCUGAAAUGUUGCUGGGUCUGUUAUAAAAAAGGGAAAAGGACAGACACCCCAUGGCACUGAUUUUUUUUCUUUUGAAAACAGCAAAUUUUAGUUAGUCAGUUUCCUUCCCCCCAAAUCUCCAGUUAGAUUCUUUUUGCAGGAGUUAGUUUAGAGAAUGCUGCUAAAGGUGCAUUUGAUACCUGCACAUUUGGUUAAAAAAGUUUUAUGGUAGCAACAUAUAACUGGCUGGCCAAAACCAGAUGACGUGUGCAUAGAAAGCAGAAUUCAAAAAUUACCACCAUGCACGUUCUCUGAAAUGUUUUUAGCACAAUGGUUGGGGGAAGGAUGUGAAAACACCUCAUAUACAAUACCCUGGAAUGUCUUCUUUAUAAAAAUAUAAACUUUCAUGAUGUUAACAUUAACGGGGGGAUACAGCAAUAUGCCAAACUGAAGAUAGGCCAAGCAUACCUAUAUAUCAAGUUGAAAAACUGAUAUGUACAAGUCUCGAUUGUGGCCUUUUAGCCCCCAAACAACCCAGCAAACCUAUGCAUGGGUGAUAUCACUGUGGGGUGUUGUUUGGCAGUGAUACAUAACAGGAUCUGUUAAUUCAUGCCUAAAGUACAAUGUAUGUGUAAAAAAACACAAAGAAAAUUACUACCCAAAAGUUUGCCAAAGGCUGGUGGUAGAAUUAUUGCAUGAAAAGUAUUAAACUACCACCAUUUAAAAUACAAAAAGAUAUGGAAGGGCUGCGCCAAAUAAGGGUAGAUAGUCCAGUAAAGUAUUGCUAGGGUGCCAAUAGAUGGUCUAGGAUACUUGAUAGAGUUCCUCUGUGGAUGCGUCUGGUGUAGACCGUUCCUAUAUGUAAAUACAAGAGAGGUAGAGGCGACUAAUGGUAUAGUAUGAAAGUUCAGGGUGUGAUAGGUAACAAAAAGUAAAGAACUCACAUUCAGGAGAGCUAUGGCCAGCUCUGGUGUGGAUUGUGUACAGCGGUAUAAUCCCCGCUUAUGGGAUAUGUAGGGAGGGGUCUCCGUCAGCACCGUCUGGUAGUCCAGAGCUCGAAAAAGAAAGACAGAAAGCAACAAUAGUGCUCUCAAUUUUGAUGUGGUUCAAUGUGCAGAUAAGAAGAGGUAAAAAACUCACAUUUGAGGGAGCUAUGGCCAGCUCUGGUGUGGAUAGCGUACAGCGGUAUAAUCCCCGCUUAUAGGAUAUGUAGCGGCGAUACGUCCGUCAGCACCGUCUGGUGAUCCAAGGCUCCAAUAUAGAAGAAUAAAAAGCAGCAAUAGUGCUCUCAAUUGUGAUAGGUUAAGAGAGUAGUAGAGAAAAUAAAAUAAUACUCACAAAGAUAGAGCAGAGGUACUGCUCUAUGGAUAGGCGCCGGUGGUAUGAUCCCCACCUAGGAUUUCUUGGAGUACUGGAACUUUAAAAUUGCCAAUGGAAGUAAAAGUAACCAGGAAAGGUUAAAAUGCCAGGAAUAGGUAAAAACAAAAGUUGUUUAAAGUGCAUAAAGAGUGCAAUAAAAAGAGGAUUGGUACAAUAAAGUAGCCAAAAAACUUUUAUUGAUCUAAAAUACACAGUAAAAUACAGAAUUCAUAACCAUAAACGCGUUUCACCAUAAGUGGCUUCUUCAGAAUGGGAUAAACCAUUUAAAAUACCCUGGGUUGUCUACUUUUCAAAAAUAUAUGGUUUGAUGCGGGUAAAAUACAUUGACCCAAAUAGGACAGGGGCACCGGUUUACUACAUGUCAAAAUUCCAAGUUGAAAAAUGGAUAUGCGCACCUGCCAAAUGUGGCCUUUUAGCCCCCAAACAACUCAACAAGCCUAUGCAUGGGUGUUAUCACUGUACUCAGGAGAUGUUGCUGAACACAUAUUGGGGUGUUGUUUGGCAGUGACACAUAACACAAUCUGUUAAUUCAUGCCUAAAAUGCAAUGUGUGUGAAAAAAACACACAAAAAAGUACUACCUAAACGUUUGCCAAAGUCUGGUGGUAGAAUUAGUGCAUGGAAAGUGUUAAAAAACCACCAUUUGAAAUACCCUAGGGUGUCUACUUUCCAAAAAUAUAUGGUUUGGUGGGGGUAAAAUACAUUGGCCGGCCUUACAAAUGUCCCAAAUAGGACAUGUGCGCAGGUUGACUACAUGUCAAAAUUCCAAGUUGGAAAAUGGAUAUGCGCACCUGCCAAAUGUGGCCUUUUAGCCGCCAAACAACUCAACAAGCCUAUGCAUGGGUGGUAUCACUGUACUCUGGAGAUGUUGCUGAACAUAUAUUAGUGUGUUUUUUUGCAGCAAGACAUAACAGGAUCUGUAAGUUUAUACCUGAAUUGCAAUGUAUGUGACAAGAAAACUACCUAUGCGAAGUUUGGCAAAGACUGGUGGUAAAAUGGCUGCAUUGAAAGUGUCAAAAUAUCCCGGGUGUCUACUUUAAAAAUUUUUUAUACAUGUGGAGUGUUUUCCAGAUAUUUAUGACAGAUAAUAGUGUUACAAUGUCACUAUUGAUAAAUUUUAAAAAUGUUUGUUUUGAAACCACCAUAUCCUACUUGUACCUAUAGCCCUAUAACUUGCAAAAAAAAAGCAAAAAAGCAGGUAAACUCUGGGUAUUUUUAAACUCAGGACAAAAUUUUGAAUCUAUUUACCAGUUUUUUUCAUUCGCUUUUGUAGAUGAGAAAAAGAUUUUCCAAGUUAAAGUAAAAAUUUCUUUUAUUUUUUUCAAUUUUUCAUCAUAUUUUUUCAUUUUUUUUAAAAUUAAAUUACAUGAGAUUAUAUAAAUAAUGGUAUGUAAAGAAAGCCCCUUUUGUCCUGAAAACAACAAUAUAUAAUUUGUAUGGGAACAGUAAAUGAGAGAGCGGAAAAUUACAGCUAAACACAAACACCAGAAAAGUGUAUAAAGAGGCCUGGUCGCAAAUGUACAACAUCGCAAAAACAGUCCAGUCCUUAAGGGGUUAUAGGAGGGGGACUCUGAGUUGGAAUUUGUGGCCUUUUCCUACAUUUUCCUGUAUCACAAUGUUAAAAAUGGUUGUCUGGUCAUGGUCUACAUAUAUUUAUUGUGGAUUUUCUUUUGUGUUGAGGACAUUCUCUGAUGAUCUCUAUACGUUUUUGCUUUUAGGAAUUGGUUUUCCAACCUCCUACCUAAUACUGUUAGCACACUAGACAGGAAUAAUUUUUCCUUAUUUGUUUUCUUUUUAAAUAUUUGUGUGCAAAAAAAACUUUCCUUGUUACAAAUUUUGCCUGGGGAGUCACACUUUUUUUAUGGGCACAUUAGACUUUUCCCAAUGGUCAUCAAGAAGUAUACUCCUUAGUGGAUGAACACCAUUUUUAUAAAGCCACUAGUGUUUCUUUGAGAUUGUAUUCUAAUUCCAGCCUCACACUGGGGCUUGUCCAAUUGGCCCCUCCCACUUUUUACUUGCUCCUUGCCUUCUGGUAGCUUGUUAUUAAACAGUUCUGUGGUGUAGGUGUAGACUAGGUCAGUCUGAGAUGCAGUGGCGGAUCCAGAGCCUGAUCUCGGGAGGGGCACUUGUAGAUUAUUUAAAGAAAUAAUCCAGACACAAUAACCACUACAGCUCAGUGUAGUAGUUAUGGUGUCAAUAGUGCCGGGACCCCCUCCCACAGUAAGUAGUCAAACCGUUUAAGAACAGUUUGACAACUUACCUGAGAUCUGCUGGGAAAUGGGGCUGUAGUAGGGCAUAGGAGCAGUGGUGUGGGUGAGUGGUGCAAUGUGUAAGGGGUGCAGUGUGUGUGUGAAGGUUGUAGUGUGUGAGUGAGGGCGGCAGUGUAUGUCAGGGAUGCAGUGUAUGUGUGGGACAGUAUGUGUGUGUAACAGUUGCAGUGUGUGUGUAUGGGGGGCAG